GGCAACGUGCCAGAGUGGUUAAUGGGUUAGACUCGAACCAGGAGGCCGCGUUUAUAGCGGUUUCUAAGCGAUCUAAUGGCUUCGGCCGCACAAGUUCGAAUCUUGUCGUUGUCG
rfam:Magnaporthe poae ATCC 64411 unplaced genomic scaffold supercont1.28, whole genome shotgun sequence.